rnacentral:lncRNA from 1 species
UUUUUUUUCUUUCUUUUUUUUUUUUUUCUUUGUCUUUUGUCUUUUUAGGGCCACUCCUGUGGCAUAUGGAAGUUCCCAGGCUAGGGAUCUGAUAAGAGCUACAGCUGCCGCCCUAUGCGAGAGCCACGGCAACGCCAGUUCCGAGCCACGUCUGCGACCUACACCACAGCUCACAGCAAUGCUGGAUCCUUAACCCACUGAGCAAAGCCAGGGAUUGAACCCGCAACCUCAUGGUUCCUAGUCGGAUUCAUGUCCCCUGCACCAUGACGGGAACUCCUCUAUUAAAUUUCUAACCAUCGUGCGGGAAAAUUAUUCUAAUUACCACAUAAAUUUGUUUUUUCAAGAGGAAAUUGUCUUAGGACUUAUAUACUCUGGAAACCACUACUUAAGAACUAGAAUUCUCUGAGAGGAAAAAAAAAGUCAUGAUGACCCAAAGGAAAAUAAUAUCAACAGUUGAGUAAGUAAUGAUUGUUAUAACUAUUGAGAAAAGGACUUCAUAAUGGCAAAAAUCCCUGGAAAAACUACUAAGCUGACUAAAUACUGAAUGAAAUUUGCACUCUUCAUGAUAAGAUUUAAAAAUAAUAAGAAACUACUUUCUAGAUUUCAUAUGAAAUAAAAGACAAUUUAUAAAGACAUAAAUUAGAGCUGAACUCAUUUUAAGAAUCUUAUUUAGGAAGCAUGAACUUCACUCCAAAAUAAAACCUUAAUGAAUGUGAUAGAAGUUAAUACAAGACUUAAAUGAAGAACCUGGCAAAGGGAUUAAACAUGAAUAUCAUAUCAUGGAUGAAAGGGGAAUCUGCACUUUUUGCUAGGGGACAAGCUAGCUAGGGUAAUUCUACACCUCGAUGUAAGCAUUUCAUUCCCCUAUUCUCUUUCAGAACCUGUUCCCCUGGAGGAAGUCAACUUUCAUAAGCUUAACUUUCAUAUAAGUCAAACUUUCGAACACUAUACAUUGAUAUCCCUAAAUCUUGCCCUUCCCACUCUGAUGUCAGAAUUUUGUGUUUCAGUGCAUAAAUAUUUGCAAUCUGUUAAGACUGCCUUCCAAACAUAGAAGCACUGUCAUUUUUGUCCCCACAGCAAGGUAGGUACACAAAUACUUUAAUGUUUGAUUGCAUUUUACUCUUGCUAUUUUAUAAAAAUGAGUGGAAACUGAAAAAAAUGCAAAUAACACAUAUGGUAAGAAAUGCAGAGCUCAUAAAUUUCACACAAGUGAAAAAAAGGUAGAGCUCAAGAGUCAUGCCAAAAGUUGCAAUAUUCAAGUGGACAGGUACCAGUCAAACAGGAAAAGAAUUAAAGUGCACCUGUGAAAUAUGAGUUACCAUUAGGAAGCUCUCUAGGAACAGAAGUUUCCCUUUUAAUAUGUAAAGCUGCUGUUCAACUUGUACAUAUUCAACUUCUUUACAUGUUUUCAGGUUUACAUAUAUAUAACAAGAGAGGACUGAAUUCUCAUGCUACUCUGGAUUUCUUCAGUAACCCAAAAAAAGUGAUCUGUAAAACUGAUUUUGCUAUAAGAUAUUAGUGACUUAAUGAGUCAUACCUCUAAGGAAUAUGUGAUUGACUAGUUGAUUUUUUCCAAAUCAUCAAACAUUUAUUGGUUACCUCCUAUAUGCCAGACAUACUCUGGACUCUUGAGUGACACAGACAGAUAAGACAGGGGCCUAACCCGCUUGAGACUCUGAAAUUAGACCCCGACACUGGUGUCUGCACUAUUCCCUACAGGGAUAAGGUAUUUUAUAUAUAUAUAUAUAAAAUAGAGACACUAGGGAUCAGAGAGAAGACAUGGCUGCCCCAGAGCAGAGCCAGGACUCUGAAUCUGGGGUUCCUAACAUCUAAAUGCCCUUUUAGAAAUUAUGGCUUUAAUAGGAGGAUAUCCACAGAUGAAGGCACUGUGCCACCUGAAUAGAAAAAGGUUAAUUUUUAGGCUGGAAGCCUUAACUGAGAUUUCUCAACUCUUAAGGCAGCUACUCAUUCUUUCCACUUGUGCAAAAGACAUCAGCACUUCUCUCUUCACUGUAUCAGUACAUAUAGUUUUUUUAUGUAAUGAUGCAGGAGCGACACAUUCCUGCAAGAUCAGUUUUUACUAACACUGACUUCUACCCAUCUAGACCCUUGUUUGUAAUCCUGCCUUUUCCAGCCACUUCAUGAUUUUCCUUCUGAUUUCCUUCUCUUUAAGCUUUGUAGAGCCAUCCCUGGCUCGCUCUUCUUUCUGCUGCACUUUCUUCCUCCUCUUUAAAAUUGACCUUUCACUGUUUUUUCUGACCCUGUGAAAUAUUUUCUUUUUCUUUUUGUAGAUUCCAGCCUGAAAGGGAAAAACAUGUUUAACUCACUGCUUUAAGAUAAUAAAAGUGAAACUUUCACUUUCUAUACUUAAUGAUUUAUUAUAUGAUUAAUUCAAGCAAAAAAUAAAGAAUUGAAAGUAAACACAAGGCAAAUUUAUAUGCAUGUUUGGGUGCACUUUAUAACUGUUAUAAAACUACUACAAAGGAGUUCUGUAGUUUUCUCGUUUGGAUUAUUACUACAUACUAACAAAGUGGGAGGAGGGUCAAAUCAGAUAGAAAUGCAAAUGUAAUACUGGGGGGCUUGUUAACCUUUAUCAUAGCUAUGAGUUAAAAUUCAGAUGUCAACAUACACUGAAUAGCCCUUAAUACAUACAGCAGGAACUCAUGAGUAUUACCUUAAAUGGAAAAACAUAGAAGAACCUUCUGCUUGAUUCUUCUGUAGAUCAUUUGAAGGCUCUUACAGGCCUCCCAACCUAAGCAACAUACUUUUUUUUCAUAAGAUAAACGGGUACUGAGAAAUUUCUCACAAAUAAUUCUAUAUGACAUGUUAUCAUAGGUCACUCACCUUUCCAUCAAAACGUUUUAUUAUAAAUUGAUCCAGACCCAAGUCUGUAAAAGAGGGGGAAAAAAAAAACUUAGCCACUGAUUAUAACUCAGGUGAAACAUGAAGUAACGGUUCUCAGUUGUUUCCAAUCACGCAAUAAAAUUUAGAAGAUAGUUUAGCUAUGACACUAUUCAAAUGCCAUAGAAAUUAAAAAUUUCAGACUCAAAGUGUCAGUGCUAAAAGAUUUUAUUUUAUAUAUGAAAAUGAGAAGCUCUGAGAGGAUACAGAGGGUAGAACUUCAUGUGUAAACCUAUUCAAGAACCAGAACCCUGGACUCUUCCCAAGGUGGUACUAUUUUCAUUACAUCAAGAUGAUAUAUUACCUCUAAAUAAGGUGAGGAAGUUUAAUUUGAAUGCACAAUAAUUUUUAUAUAAAGUUAAAGCAAGAAGAGUAUAAUAUCAGAAGACAUUUUACAACACACCUAAACAGAUACAAAUAGACCAUCUUAAUAUUACCUUUUAAAGGUAGGUUAAAGAAUAAAUUUAACAAUGCUUGAGAAUCCCUAGCAUUGUGAAAUCCUAAGCACUGUAAAAGAUAAAAGCAAAUACAUUAAGUGCUCUUGAGGGCUGGGAUUUUUUUGUCAUUGUUGACUGCUUUAUUGCAGAACUGGAAAUAGUGCCUGAUCAAUAAAUACCUUAAAAAAAUUGAAUGAGUAGGAUAGAAUUUCUGCCUUGAAGAAUCACAAUUUAGUUAGAAAGACAUAUGCAUAUACUAAUUAAUUAAUACUACAAGGGAGGAUAAAUAAGUUCAAUAAGAAGGUGCUGUGGGAGUUUUUAGAGUGGAAAAAUCAGUUCCCAAUUAUAAUUAUUUUUCUUGCAUAGUCACUCAGUUCUUUUCUUUCAGUUCUCACUGUACUGAUGCCAGUUCACACCUUUAUCUUACUAUCCCCACAGUAUCACAAUGAUUGGAUUAUCAUCACUCCCCAAGGAAGCUUUCUGUAUCUUUCCUUCUACACGUCUGUUAACACAUUCUCCUUUCUAAAAUGUACUUCACCUGCUAGAAGCCUGCCCUGAACAAAAUGAACCACUGACAGCAAAAGAAAGAGAUAUCAGGAAAAGGGAAAUUUUAAACAACACAAAUCUAAUUUGAAACCUCACAGCCACUGAAGAAGAUAUCACAGUCAUAAAUGUAUACCAUGCCUCUAUGAUAAAAGGAUAGAGAACAAGUAAGAGUUGUAAACAAUUAAAAUUACAAUUGCCUAUCUCCCCCAUUUCUUUUCUCUUUCUUUUUGCUUUUUUAUGGCCACACCCAUGGCAUAUGGAAAUUCCCAGGCUAGGGGUCAAACUGGAGCCACAGACAUGGCCACAGACAGCCACAGCAACGUGGAACCUGAGUCAUGUCUGUGACCUACACUACAGCUCAAGGCAACGCUGGAUCCCCGACCCACUGAGUGACACAAAGGAUCAAAUCCACAUCCUCGUGGAUACUAUUUGGAUUUGCUUCUGCUUUGCCACAAUGGGAACUCCCUCCCCCUAUUUCUUAACAUAUUGUCAAAAGAUUAGGAAAGGUUAUCUCCCAGGACCACUGCUAAAAAGACAACAGGAUGGAAAAUAGAAAAUAUAAGAGGGAAUCGUAGGAAAACAGAGACUCAACAUAAGGUCUAAUGCCAUACAAAACCUUUUCUCAUUCAGAAAUAGGGAGGAAAUAAUCCAAAAAGUAUGAGCAGAAAAUUUUUCGGAGGUGAAGACUAACACAAACUAAAAUGGCUUAUUUAAGCAAAAUGAACAAAACCUACUUGUAAUUCAGUGCAUGCUUAUGAAAUUUCAGAAGACCAAUAAGAAAAUCCUCAGUUUCUAGAAAAACCCUUCCUGUUGCUUUACAAAGGAAUAAGAAUCAGACUAGGAUCAGGUAUUUCAUAAGUAAAACCUGGCACAUCAACUAAGAGAAAUAUAUGGUUGCUAAUUGGAGCAGCACUGUCUAAGAAUCAUAAUGUAAGAAAUAAAUGUAAGCCACAUGUAUAAUGAAAACUUUUUUUUUCUUUUUAUGACUGCACCUGUGGCAUAUGGAAGUUCCUGAGCUAGGGGUUCAACUGGAGCUGCAGCUGCAUGCCACAGCCACAGAAGCACCAGAUCCCAGACACAUCUGUGAUCUAUGAACAGCUUGUGGAAACACUGGAUCCUUAACCCAUAGAGCGAGACCAGGGAUUGAACCUGCAUCCUAAUGGGUUUUAUGUUGGGUUCUUAACAUACUGAGCCACAAUGGGAACUCCUAAAAAUUUUCUAACAGUCACGUUUCAAAAAAUAAAAAGAAACAGGUAAAAUUUAUUUUAAUUAGCUUAAUAUACCCAAAUUAGCAUUAUUUCACCAUGUAAUCAAUAUAAAACGAGAUAUUUUACAUUAUUUUUAUAUUAAUUUUGUAAUAUCUGGUAUGUACUUAACAUUUAUGGCACACUUCAAUUCAAAUAAACCACAUUUCAAGUUAUUAGGAUGACAUCUAAAAGAAAUCAAAUGUUAACUUAAAAACUUUUAUUUAUUUAUUUAUUUAUUUAUUUAGUCUUUUUGCCUUUUCUAGGGCCGCUCUCUUGGCAUAUGGAGGUUCCCAGGCUAGGGGUUGAAUCGGAGCUGUAGCCACCGGAGCAGCCCUAGAAAUGGAAAAAACAAUAAAAAUAAAAAUAAAAAUAAAAGGAGGCUUGUUUUAGAAGACAGCAACUCAUUCUGUUAAAAGACAAAAGUGAAAGUGAAUCAAUAUAUUAUUUUAAUAUCUAUAAAUUAGAGCUUAGGUAAAUAGAAACUCUAUAAAUUUUACUAAAGAAGUCACAGCUAUCUCUCAAAAAUUUAGAGAUUCACUUUUUUCAGCUUAAUGUUAUAAUUUAUCCUAAAAUUUUAUUAAAAUAUUAUACUCUCAGCUAAUAUAAGCCAGCAAAAAAAAAGUACAGCUCAAGUUUAUUGGAUAUGAGAGAGAAGUUUUUUUUGUUUGUUUUUCAGGGUCGAACCCACAACAUAUGGAGGUUCCCAGGCUAGGGGUCAAAUCUGAACUAAAGCUGCUGGCCUAUGCCACAACCACAACAACAACAACACAGGAUCAGAACCAUGUCUGCGACCUACACCACAGCUCAGCAAUGCCAGAUCCUUAGCCCAUUGAGCAGGCCAGGAACUGAACUCACAACCUCAUAGUUACUAGUCAGAUUCGUUUGCACUGUGCCACAACAGGAACUCUGAGAGAUAAGUUUUUUAAAAAUCAAACUGCUGAAAACCAAAGGCAAAGAAAAAAAAUCUUUGAAGCAAUCAGUUUAAAAUGCUGAAAGAAAAGAACUUAAACCCAGAAUUUUUUAUUUAGUGAAAAUAUUCUUCAACAAUGAAGGUAAAAUAAAAAUGUUUCCAGAUGAAGGAAAACAGAGAGAAUUCACCAGCAGGACAAGUCUAAUAGAUGUUCUACUCUUCAAGGGGGAAGAAAAUGAUAUCAGAGAGAAAUAUGAAACUUAAGGAAUAAGAAAGAGCAACAGAAAUGGUUAAUAUCUAGCUAUAUACAACAGACUCUUUUCUCCUCUUAAGUCCUUUACAGACAGUUGAAAUAAAAACUUAAGGCAAUGUCUGGCAGAGUAUUCAAUAUAUGCAGAUGUAAUACAUGAGACUAUACUAUAAACUGGGGAGAAACCUCCUUAGUGGUAAGACAUAAAGAGUCCACUCGGAGAGGACAAGAUGGCAGAGGAGUAGGGGGACAUG